GCAACUUCAAUAUCAACAUUUCUCAAUUUGCCAUCCAACUCUCAUUUAAAGGUACUUGAGACAUCAACCCAUAGUAGGGAUAUAGAAUUUCCAAUAUCAAUUAUAAAUUCAUAAUAAGGAAAUAGUGGAAUGAUAGUAUAAAUCAAGGCUUAAUAAAUUAAAUCAUCAUACUCUCAUAAUCAAAUACUUUUUGGACAUAAUUCCAUCUCAACAUCAUACACAUAU
rnacentral:lncRNA from 1 species